rnacentral:lncRNA from 1 species
GUGUUUGUAAGAGCUGAUACAAGAGGAUUAAUGUUUAAGCACUCAUGUUGUAAGACAUGAAAGACUAGCAUUCAGGGACUUAUCCUCUUUUCCUCUUCCUAUUGCAGUGGAUUGAACCUAUAAGUUCACAUUGUGCGGAAAAACGUCAAUACCACCAGCCACUUGAUGUACAGGGAAAUGAACCCAGAUGUGCCAAGAAAUAUUUGGAAAAGGUGAAGAAGUAUUACAAAGGAAAAGACAUACAUUUUUGAUGCCAGGAAGAGCUCUCACAUCCCCUGGAAGCAGAGCGACAGGAGCGUGCUGAGUUCCUCCCAGGGCUCUGGAGAGCACUGCAGAGCCAGCUCCCACCACAGCACACCAAAUGCUGAGGAAAAGCUUUUUUAUUUUGUUUACAUGCACUUCUACUUGAGUCUCCUGCCAUUUAAUUUGUAAGUAGGUGACGGCUGCAAGUUUAUUACUAUUCUGUCAGAAAGAAGAAUUCGGUGCUCUAUAUUGUCUUCACUGUGUCAUCUCAUUUAUGCCACCUUGCUUGCUCUUCUGAAGUUGGUCAUUUAGGGAUUCUUUCAAAGGUGACUCUAGCAGCACACUCUCUCCAUCAGUUCAAGUAUUUUGCUCUCCAUCUUCUUCAGUAAACAAAGAGCCUGUGCUUGCUUCAUCAGAGAACAGAAUUGUCUGCCCACUAUGUGAACCCUCUUUCCUUUGGCUGACUAUGUAUGCAAAUUUGAUGCUCCGUUUUUCUCAGUAGAAUUUUCAUUUUAUGAUUUUAAGAUGAUUUUAAGAGUUGCAUAAUCUUUCU